GAUGAACGCUGGCGGCGUGCCUAAUACAUGCAAGUCGAGCGAACAGAUGAGAAGCUUGCUUCUCUGAUGUUAGCGGCGGACGGGUGAGUAACACGUGGGUAACCUACCUAUAAGACUGGGAUAACUCCGGGAAACCGGGGCUAAUACCGGAUAAUAUUUUGAACCGCAUGGUUCAAUAGUGAAAGACGGUUUCGGCUGUCACUUAUAGAUGGACCCGCGCCGUAUUAGCUAGUUGGUAAGGUAACGGCUUACCAAGGCGACGAUACGUAGCCGACCUGAGAGGGUGAUCGGCCACACUGGAACUGAGACACGGGCCAGACUCCUACGGGAGGCAGCAGUAGGGAAUCUUCCGCAAUGGGCGAAAGCCUGACGGAGCAACGCGGCGUGAGUGAUGAAGGUCUUCGGAUCGUAAAACUCUGUUGUUAGGGAAGAACAAAUUUGUUAGUAACUGAACAAGUCUUGACGGUACCUAACCAGAAAGCCACGGCUAACUACGUGCCAGCCGCCGCGGUAA
rnacentral:rRNA from 1 species